rnacentral:lncRNA from 1 species
CCUGAUUGCCCAACGCUGACAGACAACACUGAGACAAAACUGAAAACAGUCACACAGACACUGUUUUGGUGUUUGUGGGGUGUGUGAGCUAUUCAUGUGCUAAGGGUGAGCCUUGAGACGUCAGCAUACCAAGGCCCUGGUAAAAAUGAAGACAGACCUGUUUGUAGAAAGUCACCCAUCAGGAAGUGAUGACCCACUGGAAGAAAGGCAAUGCAAUGGGUGAAGAUGGCUGAGGGAGAGAGCACAGGGGAGUAAGUCACAGAAACGAGGAGAUUUGUGAGAAACAACUUCUUUUUUUUUUGGAAGGCAUUUCCCAUUUUCACAAGUGUUGGAAAGUCUGUGUCAAGGGUCAAAGACAGCACCAUGUCAGCUACAGAUCAAACAGCGGUGUCCGUUGGAAUCGCGGUGGGCUUCGGUGUGCUGGGUCUGCUGCUGCUGGCCUGCCUCAUCAACCACCUGGGGGGCAAGAUCAAGUGGGGCAAGAUCUUCAAGAUCUUCAAGUGCUUCAAGCGCAAGAAGACAUCAUUAAAGGAUAAAGUCCUAGAGAAAGUUAGCACCAAGAAGUCCAAGAAGUCUGAGAAGUCUAAGAAGUCCAAGAAGUCCGAUAAGUCCGAUAAGUCUGAGAAGUCUGAGAAGUCCAAGAAGUCCGAGAAGUCCGAUAAGUCUGAUAAGUCCGAUAAAUCCGAGAAGUCCGAGAAGUCCGAGAAGUCCAAGACUCCAUUCUCCAUCAGCACUAUUGUGGAGAUGAAAUAGCUGUCAGAUCUUCCCUGGCCACAGGCUCCCGUUCUCUCCCCGUUUAUUUCCACUACCUGUGCUCUGUCUGGGACUCCCGUCUGGCUGAUGCCACUGAUUUGGUCAGACCUCUGUGUGAUAGCAGCUCACUUACGCACCAGGCUGGCUCUCAGUCCAGUCCGAAAUCAACCCUUUUCUUGAACAUUUACAUGUUCCUCUUUGAGACUGGGAACUUGUUUAGUGUAUAAACACCUUGUGGAUAUCUGUACAUAUGUAAUAGUAGGAUGGAACUCUAGUGUAACGUUACUAUAACGCUAAUAUAGCUCUAAUUUAACUCUAGUCCAAUAGAAGUCUGCGGCCAUCUACACACCGUAUCCUCAUGAGGCCUUGUGUUGGAGUUUUAGACUGUUGACGUAUUAAAACCCUUAAUGAAUGCUGACUGACUUAUUAAAACCCUUAAUGAAUGCUGACUGACGUAUUAAAACCCUUAAUGAAUGCUGACUGUUGACGUAUUAAAACCCUUAAUGAAUGCUGUUGACGUAUUAAGACGAUGACGAUAUAUUAAAACGAUAAUGAAUGCUGUUGACGUAUUAAAACCUUUAAUGAAUGCUGCCUGUUGACGUAUUAAGACGAUGACGAUAUAUUAAAACGAUAAUGAAUGCUGCCUGUUGACGCAUUAAGACCCUUAAUGAAUGCUGACUGUUGACGUAUUAAAACGAUGACGAUAUAUUAAAACGAUAAUGAAUGCUGCCUGUUGACGUAUUAAAACGAUGACGAUAUAUUAAAACGAUAAUGAAUGCCGCUGUUCUUGUCAUUUGUGGGUGGGGGUGAAACUACCA